UGAUAUGUUUAACAUUUCUUAUAAAUGUUUCUGAUACAGAUGAAAUUUCAUUUCCCCCCACUGUGGCUUCUCUUUACACUUAGAGUAAAAUCCAUGUAUCUUUCAUUAAUAUGAUCCCCGCUUACCUAUCAGGCCUCAUAUCAAGUCAUAAUUUUCUUUGUUCCCUAUUUACCUCACUUUCCCCUUUCAGCACUUGGAAUGUGUCACAAAUUUUCUCAUCUUUUGGUUCCAUCUGCAGGUGAUGUCAUCUCCCAAAAAUUCUUUGGCAUGUGUUGUUUGCAGACUGGAUCCUUCUCAUCCUAUAUAUGUUUAAGGCCCUAAAAAGCAGAGCUUUCUCCUGGCUGAGGGCAGAAGAGAAGUCAGAGACCUUCAAAGUGUGAGAUGGACAAGACUUGCUGGUUGCUGACUGGAAGACAGAGGGGGCCACAUGGAAAGUGUGAGAAGGAAAUAAAUUCUGCCAGUAACCCGUGAGCUUGGAAGAAGACCCCAUGCCCCAAAGAACUGCAGUCACAGCUGAUACUUGGAUUUAGCCAUCCUGUGCUGAACUGAUCUAUACAAUUAUUUGAUUACAUAGGACUAUAGUCUUAAGCUA